UACGGGGGGGGCAAGCGUUGUUCGGAAUUACUGGGCGUAAAGGGCGCGUAGGCGGCCUGCUAAGUCGGAUGUGAAAUCCCUCGGCUCAACCGAGGAACUGCAUCCGAUACUGGCGGGCUUGAAUCCGGGAGAGGGAUGUGGAAUUCCAGGUGUAGCGGUGAAAUGCGUAGAUAUCUGGAGGAACACCGGUGGCGAAGGCGGCAUCCUGGACCGGUAUUGACGCUGAGGCGUGAAAGCGUGGGGAGCGAACCGG
rnacentral:rRNA from 1 species